UCCGGCGCCCGCCCCGGCGCGGCGCCCCGCGCUGGAGGUGGCCCGGCCAGGGACGGUUGUUCCCCGCGCCGGCCGCCGGCAUGGACCCCGGAGCGGCGGCAUCUUUCCUGCCCCCAUACGGGUGUGGGGACCCCAGGGCCUGGCUGAGGUGUGGGAAUCACUCCCGCCUCGCAGGGUGCUGGCCUGUGGGACCCCUGGACUUCCCGAGGGUGAUUAACCCAAAAGGGCGAAGUUUUACCAAGAAAGGCCUCCGAAAAGACACAAAGAGGAGUUGGGCGAUGCUUUGUCAAACUAUGCGUUUUGCAUCACAGCAAGGGCAGAUUUCAGCCGUGUUGGGAGCAGCAACUGCUGUGUCCCAGCAGAGGAAAUGAGGGACAGAACUUUUCCUAGGGUUAGAGAUAGCGACAACUUUCCAUUGGGUCUUCGUUCACACCCGUGAUUAAGACCAUUUUGAAGCACUGCGUUUUUGUCUCACCCAGUGUUGGAUAUUCUGCCAUUAUCUGAAAAGGGCCAUUAUUUGGACUUUGUGUUUCAUUAAUUGUUUAAGACAGUUUGAAUUUGAUACUGGUGCCUGUAAUAGCAUCACAUAACAAGGUCACAUGCCAACCAGUUCAGGCCAAACAGCAAGCCUUGGCCUCAAGCCCCAGGUAAGAGUACUGUAUCUUCAGGCUGCAGGGAUCCUUCCACACCUAUCACUGCUUUGUUCUGGGCUACUUUUCACUUAGAGAGAAGGAAAAAACCAGACAUUCAAACCAGAAACCAGGAUUUUUUAAAAGAGUAGUGAAAGUUGUUUUUAUUGUGAUGUGUAAGUAACAUACGUGGGACAGAACCACGUGUAAAAGAAAUCUACCAGAAGAUGGGUCCAUGAACUCAUCGCUAAAGUAACUAUUUCUCUUCACAAAAUGAUACAAAAAUUACUAUCUGAAGAACACUGGAAAGAGAAGGACUGCUGAAAACUAAGCACUGUUUGAAGUAAUUUUCUCAAUCAAUGUCAGCAGACACCUGCUCUAAAAUAAUUUGUACCUCAGGGAUGUCAAGGAUGGAACCCAUAAAACCCUUCUUUAAAAAGAGAUGUUAGGUCACUUGUAUAACUUCAAAGAUGAGAACAGCUCUGCUUGGGGUAAUCAUAAUGGUCAUCUUCAGGCUUGAUGAGUCCAGCACUUGUCACUGCAUUACAGCUACAUUUGCUGAGUAUUUCAGCUACAGCAACCAGAAUAGCCCAGCAGCGCAGCAGUCACACCCAAGAACAAAGACAUAGAGACAAAGCUUGUUGAUUGGCACCAUGAGUAACUGAUGCUGACAGCAAAGGAUUAUAAAUUAGAUGUGAGAAGAAGAAUGGGGGAGAUGCAGCUACACACACCUUGUUCCAUGACCUGAAACACAGCUUGUGGGAGAGAGGAACUCAGGCAGUGAACCAGCCUACAAACUCCCUGUUACCAGCACUGAAGCAUGAACAAGGAACAACUCUUCGUUGCCCAGUGAAGUGCCCACUGUCAGUUUGGACAAUUAAAUAAUUGGUACGGCUUCUUUAAAACUUCUGCAAGCUGAUAACAGAUUGUUCUCAGCUGAAAACAGACACUUCAGUCACAAAUUAACCAACGGCAUUUGGACCUGUUACACUGACAGCUAAAAUUAAAUCCUUACGCAAGCCUGUGGAUUCCAUCCGUGAAGCUGUGUUUACUGUAUCUCCAAAUAAACAGUAACGAGGCA